CCUAAGUUAGCAGCUGUGUUAUACCACACACCCCAGACCACAAUGCUUUAAGGCCCAAAGCCUUAGCAGUCAAGCAACCAUGGACUGUCCUCUCUGAAACUCAGCAGCAGAUGGAGACUAUUACAGAAAUACACAGCUAGCUCAUCAAGAUGCAGAGAACAACAAACCAUGAGAUGCCAACCCCAACUGAUACAUCUAUAAUAUAAUUUCACCUACCAAUACAUAUAUUACAUAACCCCAA